GAUGAACGCUGGCGGCGUGCCUAAUACAUGCAAGUCGAGCGAACGGACGAGAAGCUUGUUUCUCUGAUGUUAGCGGCGGACGGGUGAGUAACACGUGGAUAACCUACCUAUAAGACUGGGAUAACUUCGGGAAACCGUAGCUAAUACCGGAUAAUAUUUUGAACCGCAUGGUUCAAAAGUGAAAGACGGUCUUGCUGUCACUUAUAGAUGGAUCCGCGCUGCAUUAGCUAGUGGGUAAGGUAACGGCUUACCAAGGCAACGAUGCAUAGCCGACCUGAGAGGGUGAUCGGCCACACUGGAACUGAGACACGGUCCAGCCUCCUACGGGAGGCAGCAGUAGGGAAUCUUCCGCAAUGGGCGAAAGCCUGACGGAGCAACGCCGCGUGGGUGAUGAAGGUCUUCGGAUCGUAAAACUCUGUUAUUAGGGAAGACCAUAUGUGUAAGUAACUGUGCACAUCUUGACGGUACCUAAUCAGAAAGCCACGGCUAACUACGUG
rnacentral:rRNA from 1 species